CACGAAACUCAUUGAGCUAACUAUUAUAACUUGAAAGAAGUGUUAUAUGUAGCAUAAUAGAUAAUUAGUGGUAGUUAGGGGUGAUAGGCCUUCCAAAUUGAGUGAUAGCUUGAUUUUCUUGAAAAGUAUUAAGUACGAGUACAGACUUUAAGUUUCAAGGUUUAAAGUGAAGAUUAAAAACUAUACAUUGAUUGUUACUAUGUUUAAUCACUAGUACAAUGAGAUAAGAAUAUUUAAGUAGUGGAGAUUAUUUAUAAUAAGGAAAAAUGUUUAUACUAUACUGAACAUUUAUAAUGUUAACAUGAGUAUUUAUAAAGGUGAAAAUAAUGAACUCGGCAACACGUUUUUCGACUGUUUAUCAAAAACAUAGCCAGGUGUAAUAUAUAUUUGGUGCUUUCUGCUCAAUGAUAUGUUAAAUAGCCGCAGUACCCUGACUGUGCAAAGGUAGCGCAAUCAAUUGGCUUUUAAUUGAAGUCCUGUAUGAAGAACCCACGGAAGACGACUGUAUCUUUUUUAUAAUAAUAAAUUGCUAGUUAGGUGCAAAAACCUAUAUUAAAAUAAUAGACGAGAAGACCCUAGAAAUUUUAAGAACAUGUUUGCAGGUCUUUUUGUUGGGGCAACAGUGUAGCAAAACCUACAUAAUAAGACAUAUAAUUAUUUAUCAUGAUUAAAUUACUCUAGGGAUAACAGCAUAAUUUUGUAAAGUUUGUGACCUCGAUGUUGGACUAGGAAAUUGAUGUUUAGAA
rnacentral:rRNA from 1 species